CCCUGGAAGACUAGUGGUUAGGCCACAGCACUCUCACUGCCACAGCCCAGGUUCAAUUCCAGGCCACUAGGGU
rnacentral:tRNA from 1 species